rnacentral:lncRNA from 10 species
CUUGAUCUUGCUAUCCUGGCCUGGCUGGUGUUGAAUUCCUGGACUCAAGUCAUCCUCCUGCCUCGGCCCCUCCAAGUGCUGGGAUUACAGCAUGAGCCACCAUGCCCAACUCACUUGCAUCUUAACCAGCUGCUUUCUUGGUGCUGAUGGCCCUGCCCCAUGAGACCAAAGCUCCACCUGUGAAGCAACAACUCAUCUGCCUUUCUGGAUCAUGCUAGCAUGGGUGUCACGUGGACUCUCUGUGGCUCCUCAGGUCUCAGCAACAAUAGGGAAACCUUGGAACAAGAUACGCAGGAUGCAGGCAGGAGGCAAGGUGCUGUCGGGCUGGAUCAGAGUCCAUGCAGGGGUGGCUGAGUGGCCAAGGGCCACAGAGGUGGGUGAGGUCAACAAAAGGCCAGUGAGAGUCGUCUGGAACAUGGCCAGUGGUGGGGUGUGACUUCUGGAAAGUUUUUUUAAAAGAAGACCAGCCCCUCUUCCUCCUGCUUCCUCCCUGGAAUGGAGACAUGAUGGCUGCUGAAGCUCCUUCCAUCUUGCACCAUGAGGGCCUUCCCACAGAUUCAUCAUUCUUCUCAAUACAGAGCUCAGGGUGGCAUUCACCAAUCAACUGGCAUUUCCAUGAAAGAUGACACCUAUUUGCCAUCCCUGAUACACCUGUGCAUGUGUAUGUGUGUUUUUAAAUCAUUAAAUUAUAAACUGUAAAAGAGAGACAUGAGAAUACAUCCAUCUUACUUCACUAAAACUUGUUACCUGAGGCUGCGUGCAGUGGCUCACACCUGUAAUCCCAGCAUUUUGGAAGGCUGAGGCUGGAGGAUUGAUUGAGGCCAGGAGUUCAAGACCAGCCUGGGCAAAAUAGUGAGGGUCCAUCUCUACAAAAAAAUUUUAAAAAUUAGCCAAGUGUGGUGGCAUUCACCUGUAGUUUUAGCUACCCAAGAGGCUGAGGUGGGAGGAUCGCUUCAGCCCAGGAGGCCAAGGCUGCAGUGAGCCGUGAUAGCAACACCGCACUGCAGCCUGGGUGACAGAGAAAGAUCCUGUCUCUUAAAAAAUAAUUUUUUUUAACCUGACUUAUCAGAAGAUGAUCCAGCUAACCCAUCAGUACUUAUGAACAAGUUCUAUAGAAAUAUCCAUCUCCAGGGGCCUCUAUUGUGCCCCUCAGACCAGUCCGUAGCUGAUUACUGUCCACCGACUCUAAGGCAGAGUCCACAACCACCAUAAUUGUAUGCAACUCCUAACAUAUUUGUUCACAAGGUUAUUCAAAAUGUAAUGUGUUUAUGAAUAAAUAGGCAUGGCCAAGAAUCAUACUUGUCCUGUGAAAUACUUACCUGAGGAGCUCAGGCCUAAGGUUUAUCAGUAAGGAAACCAUUGUAAUCUUGGAUGGAAUAUCCAAGAAGCUAAGAGGCCCAUUCUUAUUUUGUCAUAGCAAAGAGUUGCCCCGUAAAAUAGGAGAACAGAUUCCAUUUUAGGGCCAACCUUCUGCGGUCAUGACCAUAGAACACAAAAUGUAAAUAAACUGGCAGUGUUGCCAGGCCUCCAGUCGCAGAGGUCCCUCAGCAUUCUGAAAGUGAUUGAUUUCAAUCUUUCUGUAGUUCUUCAUCAAGCUUCAGUUUGUUAUUGUGGUUGUUGUUUCUCUAAGCGUAUAAUACCUUUCCAGGGCAGGAGUGGUUUAACUCAACAGUAUGUUCCGGGAUCUAGUCACAAAAAUGAAAUCUACAAAUAUAUCAGCAUUGGACCCUGGAAUGGAUACAAAAGGGUCAGGGAGCCUCCUGGAGUCCAUUAGGAUCUGAUUGUCCCCAGCCCCCAAUCCACUUCAUACAUCAGUAAACAUGUCCCAAACAGACAAGUCAGUGCCCACUCAGGGUCUCCCGACUCAAUCGAUUCUAAGUGCUUUCCAAGAUACUUCUCAUGUUUUUAAAAUGAGGUAUAAAUUGAAUAAAAAUCUCAAUGGGCCUUUUCCAGUUUUAACUUCAUGUGUGCUGCUUUAACUUGAAAAGAAUUUCUUUCCUCCUAUUUGAGUCUUUGAAACUAGAAACAAAGGGGGUGUUACCCAAGUUUUCCAGGAAAAAAUGUGAUUCAAGAAGGGGUUGUAUGUAUUAUCUUCAGAAUAUGAGAAUGUACACAACACAUAUUACACAUACGCAUACAAAAUACACACUAACACACCCACAAUUAUUGUGAACAAUUAUACACUAUGUUUUCAUAUUUUAUAUAUGCAUGUGGC